UUGGCAGAUGCUGUUUCAAACAACCUAGUGAAGUGCAGGUACAUGUGGAAGUACUAUUGUGCAGCUGAACUAAAGGAAUUUUGCUGGAUAACUGCUUGCCUGUUAUUGUCGUUGGCACGUUACAGCUAUAUAAUGUGCUUUCUAGAAACCAUUUUGGUAGGUGUGGGUUGCUUGUCAGAAAUCCAUUCUGAAGCUUGAGUGCAAAGGAAGCAGGGUACUAAUGAUGAAUAAGAAUGGAUAUCUUGAGGAUAACAAUGGAUUUUCAAAAGCAGUGGCAUUCUGGUCCUAGUCCUGCAACUGGAUUUAUUCAAAUGGACCUCGAUAGCCUGGGGGCCUGAUGAAGUUCAUGGGACUCAGGUUGCCUCAGUUUCUUCUCCUGAGUCUCAGAAAUCUUGGAAUAGAACCAUUAAAUAGAAGGAGAUGACAUCACUGGGAAAGAAGAUGGUAGAAGAAACAUGAUAGAAGCUGGAGACAGUCUCUGUGAGAAUACUAGCAUGACUUCUUUUCUCUGAACAGCCAGUAAACAGGUGAUCCUCCUUUCUGAACCAGUAAUAAAUUGCUAUGGCUGCAUGCAAUGGUGGGUUUUUGACCAAUGCAGCACCCAGUGUAGUGCAGUACAUACUGGAAAACUGUUUUGGAAGUGGGGGGAGAAGGG